UACGUAGGGUGCGAGCGUUGUCCGGAAUUAUUGGGCGUAAAGGGCUCGUAGGCGGUUUGUCGCGUCGGGAGUGAAAACCCAGGGCUUAACUCUGGGCUUGCUUUCGAUACGGGCAGACUAGAGGUAUGCAGGGGAGAACGGAAUUCCUGGUGUAGCGGUGAAAUGCGCAGAGUAUCAGGAGGAGCACCGGUGGCGAAGGCGGUUCUCUGG
rnacentral:rRNA from 1 species